UCCAGUUUGUCACCCUCUAAGGCUACUGGGCCUGAUGGCAUACCAGCAUAUCUUUUAAAGCGCUGUUCCGAAGUCAUCGCUCCGUCUUUAACAGUUCUCUUCGAGUUGUCUCUUCAGCAGGGUGUAUUUCCUUCUGAAUGGAAAUCUGCUAAUGUGGUUCCAAUACCUAAGAAAGGUGACGCUCAUGAAGUCACCAACUACAGACCUGUUUCAUUACUCUCCCAAGUCUCAAAAGUACUUGAACGCUUGAUUUUUAGACAGGUUUCUUCUUUCAUUAAGGACUCUUUGUAUGACAUUCAACAUGGCUUUCGCUGCAAUAGGUCAUGUGUUACUCAACUUUUGAAUGUGUUUCACGAUCUCGGUCGUGCUCUUGAUUU